rnacentral:rRNA from 1 species
GUAGGUCACAAGCGUUGUCCGGAAUUACUGGGUGUAAAGGGAGCGUAGGCGGGAUCUUAAGUCAGGUGUGAAAACUAUGGGCUCAACCCAUAGACUGCACUGGAAACUGUAGGACUAGAGUGCAGGAGAGGUAAGUGGAAUUCCUAGUGUAGCGGUGAAAUGCGUAGAUAUUAGGAGGAACACCAGUGGCGAAGGCGGCUUACUGGACUGUAACUGACGUUGAGGCUCGAAAGCGUGGGGAGCAAACAGGAUUAGAUACCCUGGUAGUCCACGCCGUAAACGAUGAUUACUAGGUGUUGGUGGGUAUGACCCAUCGGUGCCGCAGCAAACGCAAUAAGUAAUCCACCUGGGGAGU